rnacentral:rRNA from 1 species
UACAGAGGGUGCGAGCGUUGUCCGGAAUCACUGGGCGGAAAGGGCGCGUAGGUGGUGGCUUAAGCGUGCGGUGAAAGCUCGGAGCUCAACUCCGAGUCGGCCGUGCGAACUGGGCUCACUGGAGCAUAGUAGAGGCAGGUGGAAUUCCGGGUGUAGCGGUGGAAUGCGUAGAGAUCCGGAAGAACACCGGUGGCGAAGGCGGCCUGCUGGGCUAUGGCUGACACUGAGGCGCGACAGCGUGGGGAGCAAACAGG